rnacentral:rRNA from 3 species
UUAAGCGACUAAGCGUACACGGUGGAUGCCCUGGCAGUCAGAGGCGAUGAAGGACGUGCUAAUCUGCGAUAAGCGUCGGUAAGGUGAUAUGAACCGUUAUAACCGGCGAUUUCCGAAUGGGGAAACCCAGUGUGUUUCGACACACUAUCAUUAACUGAAUCCAUAGGUUAAUGAGGCGAACCGGGGGAACUGAAACAUCUAAGUACCCCGAGGAAAAGAAAUCAACCGAGAUUCCCCCAGUAGCGGCGAGCGAACGGGGAGCAGCCCAGAGCCUGAAUCAGUGUGUGUGUUAGUGGAAGCGUCUGGAAAGGCGCGCGAUACAGGGUGACAGCCCCGUACACAAAAAUGCACAUGCUGUGAGCUCGAUGAGUAGGGCGGGACACGUGGUAUCCUGUCUGAAUAUGGGGGGACCAUCCUCCAAGGCUAAAUACUCCUGACUGACCGAUAGUGAACCAGUACCGUGAGGGAAAGGCGAAAAGAACCCCGGCGAGGGGAGUGAAAAAGAACCUGAAACCGUGUACGUACAAGCAGUGGGAGCCUCUUUAUGGGGUGACUGCGUACCUUUUGUAUAAUGGGUCAGCGACUUAUAUUCUGUAGCAAGGUUAACCGAAUAGGGGAGCCGAAGGGAAACCGAGUCUUAACUGGGCGUUAAGUUGCAGGGUAUAGACCCGAAACCCGGUGAUCUAGCCAUGGGCAGGUUGAAGGUUGGGUAACACUAACUGGAGGACCGAACCGACUAAUGUUGAAAAAUUAGCGGAUGACUUGUGGCUGGGGGUGAAAGGCCAAUCAAACCGGGAGAUAGCUGGUUCUCCCCGAAAGCUAUUUAGGUAGCGCCUCGUGAAUUCAUCUCCGGGGGUAGAGCACUGUUUCGGCAAGGGGGUCAUCCCGACUUACCAACCCGAUGCAAACUGCGAAUACCGGAGAAUGUUAUCACGGGAGACACACGGCGGGUGCUAACGUCCGUCGUGAAGAGGGAAACAACCCAGACCGCCAGCUAAGGUCCCAAAGUCAUGGUUAAGUGGGAAACGAUGUGGGAAGGCCCAGACAGCCAGGAUGUUGGCUUAGAAGCAGCCAUCAUUUAAAGAAAGCGUAAUAGCUCACUGGUCGAGUCGGCCUGCGCGGAAGAUGUAACGGGGCUAAACCAUGCACCGAAGCUGCGGCAGCGACGCUUAUGCGUUGUUGGGUAGGGGAGCGUUCUGUAAGCCUGCGAAGGUGUGCUGUGAGGCAUGCUGGAGGUAUCAGAAGUGCGAAUGCUGACAUAAGUAACGAUAAAGCGGGUGAAAAGCCCGCUCGCCGGAAGACCAAGGGUUCCUGUCCAACGUUAAUCGGGGCAGGGUGAGUCGACCCCUAAGGCGAGGCCGAAAGGCGUAGUCGAUGGGAAACAGGUUAAUAUUCCUGUACUUGGUGUUACUGCGAAGGGGGGACGGAGAAGGCUAUGUUGGCCGGGCGACGGUUGUCCCGGUUUAAGCGUGUAGGCUGGUUUUCCAGGCAAAUCCGGAAAAUCAAGGCUGAGGCGUGAUGACGAGGCACUACGGUGCUGAAGCAACAAAUGCCCUGCUUCCAGGAAAAGCCUCUAAGCAUCAGGUAACAUCAAAUCGUACCCCAAACCGACACAGGUGGUCAGGUAGAGAAUACCAAGGCGCUUGAGAGAACUCGGGUGAAGGAACUAGGCAAAAUGGUGCCGUAACUUCGGGAGAAGGCACGCUGAUAUGUAGGUGAAGCGACUUGCUCGUGGAGCUGAAAUCAGUCGAAGAUACCAGCUGGCUGCAACUGUUUAUUAAAAACACAGCACUGUGCAAACACGAAAGUGGACGUAUACGGUGUGACGCCUGCCCGGUGCCGGAAGGUUAAUUGAUGGGGUUAGCGGUAACGCGAAGCUCUUGAUCGAAGCCCCGGUAAACGGCGGCCGUAACUAUAACGGUCCUAAGGUAGCGAAAUUCCUUGUCGGGUAAGUUCCGACCUGCACGAAUGGCGUAAUGAUGGCCAGGCUGUCUCCACCCGAGACUCAGUGAAAUUGAACUCGCUGUGAAGAUGCAGUGUACCCGCGGCAAGACGGAAAGACCCCGUGAACCUUUACUAUAGCUUGACACUGAACAUUGAGCCUUGAUGUGUAGGAUAGGUGGGAGGCUUUGAAGUGUGGACGCCAGUCUGCAUGGAGCCGACCUUGAAAUACCACCCUUUAAUGUUUGAUGUUCUAACGUUGGCCCCUAAUCGGGGUUGCGGACAGUGUCUGGUGGGUAGUUUGACUGGGGCGGUCUCCUCCUAAAGAGUAACGGAGGAGCACGAAGGUUGGCUAAUCCUGGUCGGACAUCAGGAGGUUAGUGCAAUGGCAUAAGCCAGCUUGACUGCGAGCGUGACGGCGCGAGCAGGUGCGAAAGCAGGUCAUAGUGAUCCGGUGGUUCUGAAUGGAAGGGCCAUCGCUCAACGGAUAAAAGGUACUCCGGGGAUAACAGGCUGAUACCGCCCAAGAGUUCAUAUCGACGGCGGUGUUUGGCACCUCGAUGUCGGCUCAUCACAUCCUGGGGCUGAAGUAGGUCCCAAGGGUAUGGCUGUUCGCCAUUUAAAGUGGUACGCGAGCUGGGUUUAGAACGUCGUGAGACAGUUCGGUCCCUAUCUGCCGUGGGCGCUGGAGAACUGAGGGGGGCUGCUCCUAGUACGAGAGGACCGGAGUGGACGCAUCACUGGUGUUCGGGUUGUCAUGCCAAUGGCACUGCCCGGUAGCUAAAUGCGGAAGAGAUAAGUGCUGAAAGCAUCUAAGCACGAAACUUGCCCCGAGAUGAGUUCUCCCUGACUCCUUGAGAGUCCUGAAGGAACGUUGAAGACGACGACGUUGAUAGGCCGGGUGUGUAAGCGCAGCGAUGCGUUGAGCUAACCGGUACUAAUGAACCGUGAGGCUUAACCUU